rnacentral:lncRNA from 1 species
UCACAAUCAGCUAGGCUCUGAAGACAAAUCCGAGUUCAGGCUGUGGAUUGGCUGAUCCCUCAUGAAUAUGUAGAUUACUCUCACCCUUCACCUCGCUCUGUCUCUCUCUCUCUGUCUCUCUCUUUUGGAUCACACUCCAGGAAAAACCAGCCACCAUGUUGUAAGGAUGCUCAAGUAGCACUAUGGAGAUUCACACGUGGCAAAGAGCUGAGGCCUCCCACCAACAGCCACAUGAGGGAGCCAGAGUAGGAGUGGCUCCUCCAGCCCCAGUCGAACCUUCAGAUGUGACAGACUUGGCUGCUGACAGUUUGCAAUCUCAUGAGACCCUGAGCCAGAACCACCCAGCUAAAUCAGUCCUGGACUCCUGAUCAACAGAAAUGGUACCAAAGAGAGGCGUUUUGAACAUUAAGACGCUUUGCUGCUUCUCACCUGAAACACGUAACAGGAACACCAACCUCUUCAGCCGCGGGAAAUCUUCUUUGACACAAAACUCAAACCGAGUCAACCCAAAGUUCCAAGUUCUUUGCUUUCUCUUCUGUGUGUGUGUUGGUUUGUCCCAAAAGUCAGUUUGCAAGUUGAAACUUCAUGAAAUUACUCGUAGCAGAAAUAAAGUACAUUGUACAAAUC